GGCCGCGCUGCGGGACCGGUCCCCGCGCCCCCGCCUGCCCCGCGCCCUGCGCCCCCGGGACCCCGGGAGCUGGCGUUCGGAGGGGCCUUUGGGGCAGAGUGCGGCAUCAGGGGGACAAACUCCCAAAGAAGCCGAGGAUUAGGGAACCUUAAAAAACAAGAAUCCCAGGUCACUCUAGUUAUAACAAUUCCUCUGAACUGCUUGAAUCAAACAAACAUAAAAGUUUAAUUCCACUCUUUUUACCUGGAAUUCCAAAUCACCCUCUGGAAGCAUAUCUUAGUGUUCUCACAACGGGUUUGUGGCCUUAACGGAAAAAUAGAAUGAUUCUUAAGUCUACUUUUUAGAUUCUUGGAGCCCUCUGCAUCACGAGGCCCUUUAAGUGUUUCCUUGAAUCCUCGCACCAACUCAGGGAAGUAGGUGUUACAUCCUCAUUUCACACAUGAGGAAACUGAGGCUCACCAGAGUUCAAUUACUUGUGUGCGGUCAUAUCGUGUGAGGGGAGAAGGCAGGACCUGAACCUGGCAGUUUGCUCUGCAGAAUUGACCUUCCCGUCUGCAAGGCCAUGACAGCUCUGAAAAGGUGAACGUAGAAGAGUGGGGGCUCCAUCUUUCACCCAGGAACCCUCCUGCCGCCAGUGACCCUAAGUGUGCAGGCUGAGCUUCCACAGGGCUGUGGUGCUGGGCCAUAGGGCAAAGCCAGGAGGGAGAGCUGGGAACAACUGGAACAAGCAGGAAGCUUCUCUUAGGAACAAGCUCCUCUGCUCAACCCUCCAGGCAUGGCUUGAUGAGCAGCGCCAUGUCCACAUCUGGGAUCCGACCCAGUGGCCCGCUGGCCACCAGAGCAGAACGUGUGAGCUUAACCACUGCACCACCAGGCUGGCCCCCAGAAAAUUAAGAAAAUGCAAGUCACCAGAGUCCCCUGGGAAACGUCCAGCUGUCCUGGGAGGGGAGCUCAUCUGUCCUGGAGGACCAUGACACUGCACUUCUUGAGGAACGGGCACUGAAAGGCACUGUAGGAGGACAUUUGUGACAGCGUGGUGAUGAAUUCGUGACGAGGCGGCAGCGUAGACUUGAAACAGGUCCACGUGUUUCUCUGCAUUUAGCCAAGACCAAACCAGAACGCACGCCCCUGGACGCGCAGCUGGAUGCAUGAAACAAAGAGGUUUUCUAUUUUGUCAUGAAAGGGACAUAAUUUGGGGGGAAAAGCCCUGCCCAAACCAGAAGUUCAGUUUGCGUUUGUUUCAGCCAAACUGCUUCAAGCCUGGUCACAGACUUCUGUGGACCUCGAUUGUUGCAGAAAUGUUUUUUAAAAAGCCUUUUAGGUUUUGUUAAACCUCUCCAGAAGUUUAUUUCAAAAUAAAGGAGUUACUAACACAGCUUUUCCAACGUUAGAUCAUAUUGUAAAGAACUCAUACAAUUCACUAGCAAAUAAAAAAAAUCGAUUAAAAUAUAGGCAGAGGAUCUGAAUAGACAUUUUUCCAGAGAAGACACACAGAUGGCCAAGAGGCA
rnacentral:lncRNA from 1 species